CGCCUGCAGGCUGAGAUCCCGGCGUCGACUAUGCAGGAAACCGUCGAAGGGUGUCCGGACUUCGGGGGAGCAAUUCGGACUGGGGAGACCUUUAGCCUGCCUUUUGGCGACUGGAAACCCGAGAACUAAACAAAAGGCUGCGCUCGGAGAAAGUCGGGUGGAAAUGCUUUCGGACGUGAGUUCGAUUCUCACCGCCUUCACCA
rnacentral:tmRNA from 1 species